rnacentral:rRNA from 1 species
GAUGAACGCUGGCGGCGUGCCUAAUACAUGCAAGUCGAGCGAACAGACGAGGAGCUUGCUCCUCUGACGUUAGCGGCGGACGGGUGAGUAACACGUGGAUAACCUACCUAUAAGACUGGAUAACUUCGGGAAACCGGAGCUAAUACCGGAUAAUAUAUUGAACCGCAUGGUUCAAUAGUGAAAGACGGUUUUGCUGUCACUUAUAGAUGGAUCCGCGCCGCAUUAGCUAGUUGGUAAGGUAACGGCUUACCAAGGCAACGAUGCGUAGCCGACCUGAGAGGGUGAUCGGCCACACUGGAACUGAGACACGGUCCAGACUCCUACGGGAGGCAGUAGUAGGGAAUCUUCCGCAAUGGGCGAAAGCCUGACGGAGCAACGCCGCGUGAGUGAUGAAGGUCUUCGGAUCGUAAAACUCUGUUAUUAGGGAAGAACAAAUGUGUAAGUAACUAUGCACGUCUUGACGGUACCUAAUCAGAAAGCCACGGCUAACUACGUG